UAAAGAAGCGUUUUCGGUGGCAGCCUGGGUAUAAAUCCUUUGGAAUAGGGUAUCAUAGAGGGUGAGAAUCCCGUCUUUGACUCAGUGAAUGCUACUAUGUGAUACGUUUUCAAAGAGUCGAGUUGUUUGGGAAUGCAGCUCAAAAUGGGUGGUAAAUUUCAUCUAAAGCUAAAUAUUGGCGAGAGACCGAUAGCGAACAAGUACCGUGAGGGAAAGAUGAAAAGAACUUUGAAAAGAGAGUUAAACAGUACGUGAAAUUGUUGAAAGGGAAACGUUUGACACCAGUCAUGCGGGUGGGAAAUCAGUCUUUUAGCGUGGGGAGUGGUGGGGGUUCAGACCGCAAGGCUGGCCUUUAUCUCAUCUCUGCGCUAAUGGAUGCACUUUUUCAUUUGCAGGUCAACAUCAGUUUCUUCUGCUGGACAAAACUCUGAGAGAAGGUAGCAGCUUUGGCUGUGUUAUAGCUCUGGAGCGAUACAGCGGAGGGGACUGAGGCUUUCGCAGUGUGUGCUUUCGGGCAAGGUUGACUGGGUGCUAUGUGAUCGUUCGGUGUACAAUGCAUGCAUUUUGCGCCGUGUCUUUUGCAUACUCGCCUGAAUCGACUCUUCCACGCUUGGGAUGUUGACUUAAUGGUUUUAAACGACCCGUCUUGAAACACGGACCAAGGAGUCUAACAUAUAUGCAAGUGUUUGGGUGGCAAACCCAUACGCGUAAUGAAAGUGAACGUAGGUGCGAUCCGCAAGGUGCAGCAUCGACCGAUCUUGAUAUUUUUGGAUAGAUUUGAGUAAGAGCAUAUAUGCUGGGACCCGAAA
rnacentral:rRNA from 1 species